rnacentral:lncRNA from 1 species
CAUAUAUAUAAUAAAAAAAUAUAAUGUGGUACGAGUUUAAAGAGAAACUCCUUAAAGCUCAUACCACAUAGUCUGCUAUAAAAGGCCCUGAAAGGACAAUGUAACACAAUUCAAACAAAUCAACUAAUGGCCUUAUUUUUGGGCAAAAAUAAAAUAAAAAGAAUAACGAAAAACACAGCAACAAAAGACAACCACUGAAUUGCAGGCUUCUAAUUUGUGUCAGGCCUAGGCAAAUACAGGAUGUGGCGACGAUAAACAUGUUACCUGGUGUCCAAUCCUCCCCUAACCUGUGACAGUGGUGUAACGAAACAACAUAAGAGCAGACUUAAAAAUCAGUUGAAAAGGCUUAAGUCAUCAUGUGAAUGCAAAUAAAAAUAGUUUUUACACAAAAAAAAAGCGAACGUGGGAGGGUACUUGUACAUAAAAAAA